rnacentral:snRNA from 1 species
UUGCUUCAGCAGCACACAUACUCAAAUUGGAACAAUACAGAGAAGAGUAGCAUGGCCCCUGGGCAAGGAUGAUUAUGCAAAUUUGUGUAGCAUUCCAUAUUUUA